UUGUGACUAUAGAGUAGCCUAGCAACAGCUUACAAAAAGUUAAUAUUGAAAAAAUCCACUGCGCUGGAGAGCAAAGUUUUUAAUGAAAUACCGGAUUAAUCUUAGCUUAAAGUUAUUCACUCACACUCCCCUUUUUUUAAAAACUAUCUAAUAAUCUUUUUUUAAAAACGUCAUAAACAAUCAAAGAAUUGCAAAUAAAUGGAAAAAAGUGCAGAAAGUUUAUUAAGUAAUCAUAUAAUAUGUUAAUAAGGAACUUCUUAACGCUCGUUCAAGCGUGUUCGCCACGAUACUCUUGGCAGCCAUUGCAACCAUAAUUUGCAAAAUUAUGCAAAUUAUGCAAUGUUAAAAACGUAUUACCAUCAAUAGAUUUACCAUCAAAAUAGUAUUAUACUCCGUAUUAAAUUGGAAAAGUCAAAACGCUUUUAACUGUUAAUGCACGAGGCAUUGCAGAUGUGUUCACUGUUAUGUAUCCAAAUUGUAUCUUGACAAAAUGUUUAUUUUAUAGAUCCUAAAGUUGACGUUAAUAUUUUUAUAGUUGGUUAAUCUACCAAUUGUUAAUUGAUGAUGUAAAUGUAGUUUUUGUAAAUAAAACGUUUUUUUAAA